rnacentral:rRNA from 1 species
GGGGAGAUUGAGCUUCAAGAAAUUGUUAACGCUCUUAUCAAUACACAAAUGUACAACUCCUCAAGAAUUUCAAUUGUGCUUAUACCCAUCACUGUACGAGUUGGAUUCAAGAUUUCCCCAACCCCUUUUCAUCAAUGGACUCCCGACGUCUACGACACGAAAUGUAUGCUUGCAUAUCCGUCCUUACGGCAAAUCAGAUAUGUAAUUAUUGGAAUAAUUUUUGGAGACUCAAAUGAUGGAUAUGCAAGCAUGAUAAUUUAUAUGUUGUUCUAUCUCUCCAUGAAUCUAGAAACUUUUGCUUGCAUUGUAUUAUUUGGUCUAUGUACCGAAACUAGUAACAUUCAUGAUUAUGCAGUAUUAUACAUGAUAGUUCCUUUUUUGGCUCUCUCUUUAUCCCUAUGUCUCUUAUCCCUAGGUGGCCUUCCUCCAGUAGCCGGUUUUUUGAAACUCUAUAUAUUCUGGUAUGGAUGGCAAGCAGGCCUCUGUUUCUUGGUUUCAAUAGGACUCCAUACGAGCAUUCUGCCUAUCUACUACUAUCUGAAAAAUUAA